rnacentral:misc_RNA from 1 species
UUUGCGCCCCAGCUUGAGUGGAAAUCCUUUUUUUGCAUUUGAAAAAAAUAUUGGGAACGGAAGACCGAUAAAGG